CCCGCGUCGCCCCAUGCCCUGCGCCGCCUCGCGACCAGCCGCACCAGCCCGCGCCCCGUCGCCACACGCCGCCUUGCACCCGCGUCCGCGGCCCCGUGCUCCGCAGCCCCCACGCCCUGGCUGCCCUGCGCCCACCUUGCCUAGUAGCAGGUGGCAGCCAUGGUUGGGAGAGAGAAGCCUCAUUGAGGUGGAGAAUUUCAGUGGAGAAGAAGGAAUCAAAAAAAGAAAAGAAGAAAGAAAAACGUCUGUCAAUGACAAGUAGGUCUCACGUGUCCUAAAGAAAAAAGGGGCUGGAAAAUAGAGGCUACUGCUGAAGUUGGUUGAUUUUUUUGGGACCCUAGAAUUUGAGGGGAGCCCCUAAAGGCUGUUUAGGGGCUUUUUUUAGGGACUCCUGCUGAAGAUGCUCUUAUAUUCUUUUGCCGAAUGGUAGGCACGUACGAUCGACGACAAACAAAACUACAUCAUUGAUUCACGUAAACAAUUACCUUGAUUUUGUUAAGACUUAAAAAAGUGUUUGAUAUAUAUACACAUCAGCGGCAGCGUCAGUGUUGAACAAGUGACCAUGAUUCUGACAGCUGAC
rnacentral:lncRNA from 1 species